rnacentral:rRNA from 1 species
AGUCACUGACAUUAGAUACCCCGGUAGUCCAGGGUGUAAACGCUGCAGACUUGGUGUUGGGGGCCCUUUGGGGGCAUUCAGUGCCGGAGAGAAGUUGUUAAGUCUGCUACUUGGGGAGUACGUCCGCAAGGAUGAAACUUAAAGGAAUUGGCGGGGGAGCACCGCAACGGGAGGAGCGUGCGGUUUAAUUGGAUUCAACACCGUAAACUCACCAGGGAAGACUGUUACAUGAAGGCCGAGAUGAAGACUCUGCUAGAUUUUCAG